rnacentral:rRNA from 1 species
GAUUGCUGCUAUUGGGGUUCGAUUUAGCCAUGCAAGUCAUGGGGGUUGCUUGCAACCACCGGCGACAUGCUCAGUAACACGUUGAUAAUCUGCCUUUAGGUAAGGAAUAGCCUUGGGAAACUGAGGGUAAUACCUUAUAUGGGAGUUGUUCUGGAAACGAUUUCUCCUUCAAAGCUUCGGCGCCUAAAGAUGAGACAGCGGCGGAUUAGAUUGUUGGCGGGGUAAUGGCCCACCAAGUCGAUGAUCCGUACGGGCCGUGAGAGCGGUAGCCCGGAGAGGGACACUGAGAUACUGGUCCCAGCCCUACGGGGUGCAGCAGGCGCGAAACCUUUACAAUGCACGAAAGUGUGAUAAGGGAACCCCAAGUGCUCAUGUAUUACAUGGGCUUUUGUCAAGUGUAAAUAGCUUGACGAAUAAGUGGUGGGUAAGACUGGUGCCAGCAGCCGCGGUAACACCAGCGCCACGAGUGGGAAUCAGCUUUAUUGGGCCUAAAGCGUCCGUAGCUUGUUUAGCAAAUCCCUUGUGAAAUCUUGGAGCUUAACUUCAAGGCUUGCAGGGGACACUACUAAACUCGAGACCGGGAGGAGUUAGGGGUAUUCUGUGGGGAGCGGUAAAAUGCUAUAAUCCUCAGCAGACCACCUGUGGCGAAGGCGCCUAACUAGAACGGAUCUGACAGUGAGGGACGAAAGCUAGGGGAGCGAUCCGGAUUAGAUACCCGAGUAGUCCUAGCUGUAAACGCUGCGAGCAAGGCGUUGCACAUUCUCUGAGAAUGUGCAGUGUCGAGACGAAGGUGUUAAGCUCGCCGCCUGGGAAGUACGGUCGCAAGACUGAAAC